rnacentral:rRNA from 1 species
GACAGAGGGGGCAAGCGUUGCUCGGAAUCACUGGGCGUAAAGGGCGCGUAGGCGGGAUGGCAAGUCAGUCGUGAAAUCUCUCGGCUCAACCGAGAAACGUCGGCUGAUACUGCCGUUCUUGAGGGAUGCAGAGGAGACUGGAAUUCCUGGUGUAGCGGUGAAAUGCGCAGAUAUCAGGAAGAACACCUAUGGCGAAAGCAGCUCUCUGGGACGGUACUGACGCUGAGACGCGAAAGCGUGGGGAGCGAACAGG